AUUGAACGCUGGCGGCAGGCCUAACACAUGCAAGUCGAGCGGCAGCACGGGUACUUGUACCUGGUGGCGAGCGGCGGACGGGUGAGUAAUGCCUAGGAAUCUGCCUGGUAGUGGGGGAUAACGCUCGGAAACGGACGCUAAUACCGCAUACGUCCUACGGGAGAAAGCAGGGGACCUUCGGGCCUUGCGCUAUCAGAUGAGCCUAGGUCGGAUUAGCUAGUUGGUGAGGUAAUGGCUCACCAAGGCUACGAUCCGUAACUGGUCUGAGAGGAUGAUCAGUCACACUGGAACUGAGACACGGUCCAGACUCCUACGGGAGGCAGCAGUGGGGAAUAYUGGMCAAUGGGCGAAAGCCUGAUCCAGCCAUGCCGCGUGUGUGAAGAAGGUCUUCGGAUUGUAAAGCACUUUAAGUUGGGAGGAAGGGCAUUUACCUAAUACGUAAGUGUUUUGACGUUACCGACAGAAUAAGCACCGGCUAA
rnacentral:rRNA from 1 species